AACUUACUGUGCCAUUUUAUCAUUGGAAAAAAAUAAUACAAUGCUAUUCCCUGAUAGAAGUUCAGAAGAAUUUUUUUAAAUAAUUUUUAUUUUUAUGAGUUAAGGUGGGUUUUGGUUUGGAGGAAGAGUAUUUGGAAGUUAAUUUGGGGAACUGAGAUUUAGCUUUUUAAACCAUUUAUGGUAACAUGUUAUUAAAUGAGUGAUUCAUGUUUGAGGAUAAACACACAUCUGAGUAUGGUCUACUUUUCCAUUUAUUUGGAAUCACUCUUGUGUAGUUUUCAUGUAACAUUUUUUCCAAAGAGUUGAUCUGGAGUGUGAGAUUAUCUUCAGCAAGUAACUAGUGUUUCCACAUCUGAAUUUGCUAGGGACAGAAGCCACAGUGUAAGUGUUAAGUUGAGAGAAGGAGGUUAAAGGUGCUCACGGUAGAGUUUACCAGUGCCUUUUUGUAGCUGCAAGCAAACUAUGUGAAAAACCUGACCAAAAGAUCUGAGCUACUUCUCCCGAAGACAUGCCUUAAAGCCAGAAAUUAUAACUAGAACUGAGAACACUUGAAAAUGAGCGGUGGGGUUUAUUUAUGAAGAUUUAUUAGCAUUUACUGCUGACUUGUAAAGAUUUCAACACUAGUUGUCUAAUAAUAGCACUUUUUAAUGGAAUUGGCGGAAAACAGCAUGUCAGCAAAUACAGCCUUCCUAUCCCUUCUUGAUUAUUUAAAUAAUGAAUGACCUCGCCUCAGGGUGGAGAGCCCCAGGGAGGAGAGACCAAAGGAAAACCUAGUUUUUCUUCAGUUCCACUUCUGCUAAUGAACAAUACCUUUCUCCCAGGGCCAGUCUGAUUGAGAAUUGAGAAUCUGAUUGAGAAAACUAAUACUGAGGAAUAAGUUUUAAAUUCUGGUAUCCCAGUUUACUCUUCAUGAAAACAACAGUUGGCUAUCAACCUGCGAUGUGAUUUUGGUUAGACUACAUUGUUACCAGAAUGAUUACUUAUGUUUUCAAGUGAGAUGUUAAUUUAGCCUGUCAAAUAGUAUAUGCCCAUUGUGAUACAAAUGAGAGCUCUUCUCUCAUUCCAUUUUUGUACUUUAUCUCAUGCUGUCUUGUUUACUGUGUGUAGCUUUCUUUUCUGUUGGAAUGUGGCUUCCUAAAUUUCCCGGGAAACUCCUGAGGCUCUUCUCCCUGUCCUUUUACUCCCGCAAGUCAGGUUGUUGAGACUUGGCCAGUGCCGGCUCAGAGGAGGACUGUUUGAUCCAGGGCCUCCCAGCUGCCCGCAGCUUGGGGAGCAUAUCCCAUGCAUCAUAGUUAGCCUCACUUUCACUGUUUUUACUCCACUUCUACUACCCGAAAUGUUGCAAAAAUCUUUCUAAUUCUAUUGUUUCGUUUUUUCUUUGUAAUUCUUGCCCUUAUCUUUAGGGAGAAAAUGAUCUGCUUUCUUUCCAUUU